AUUGAUGGGAGCUUGCUCCCUGAUAUCAGCGGCGGACGGGUGAGUAACACGUGGGUAACCUGCCUGUAAGACUGGGAUAACUCCGGGAAACCGGGGCUAAUACCGGAUAACUCAUUUCCUCGCAUGAGGAAAUGUUGAAAGGUGGCUUUUAGCUACCACUUACAGAUGGACCCGCGGCGCAUUAGCUAGUUGGUGAGGUAACGGCUCACCAAGGCAACGAUGCGUAGCCGACCUGAGAGGGUGAUCGGCCACACUGGGACUGAGACACGGCCCAGACUCCUACGGGAGGCAGCAGUAGGGAAUCUUCCGCAAUGGACGAAAGUCUGACGGAGCAACGCCGCGUGAGUGAUGAAGGUUUUCGGAUCGUAAAGCUCUGUUGUUAGGGAAAAACAAGUGCCGUUUCGUAUAGGGCGGCACCUUGACGGUACCUACCCAUAAGGCGGCGGCUAAACUACCGCGCCCACCACCCGCGGUAAUACUAG
rnacentral:rRNA from 2 species